CACGUGGGUGGCGAGCGUUAUUCGGAAUUACUGGGUGUAAAGGGAGUGUAGGCGGGACUGUAAGUCGGAUGUGAAAUAUGCCGGCUCAACUGGCAGACUGCAUUCGAAACUGCGGUUCUUGAGUGAAGUAGAGGUAAGCGGAAUUCCUAGUGUAGCGGUGAAAUGCGUAGAUAUUAGGAGGAACAUCAGUGGCGAAGGCGGCUUACUGGGCUUUAACUGACGCUGAGGCUCGAAAGCGUGGGGAGCAAAC
rnacentral:rRNA from 1 species